GAGAGGAAAAGCGUCUCCUCGCCGAGAGAGAGGAAAAGCGUCUCCUUGCCGAGAGAGAGGAAAAGCGUCUCCUUGCCGAGAGAGGAAAAGCGUCUCCUUGCCGAGAGAGAGGAAAAGCGUCUCCUUGCCGAGAGAGAGGAAAAGCGUCUCCUUGCCGAGAGAGAGGAAAAGCGUCUCCUUGCCGAGAGAGAGGAAAAGCGUCUCCUUGCCGAGAGAGAGGAAAAGCGUCUCCUGGCCGAGAGGGAGACAGAAGAGCGGGCUGCUGAGAGAGAGUUUCAACUUGCCAAGAUGCAAGUGGAAAAAAAAAAAUAGAACUCGCCCGUGUCGUCGCCCAUGGGAAAACGGCUUCUCCUUCCUGCGAGAACGUGAGAGGACCGAAAUUGCCCACCUACCAAGAGGGAGAGGACAUCAACAACUACCUCAUCCGUUUAGAAAGGGUGGCUGAACUAUUCCGGAUCGACAAGGAUAGCUACGCUGCGAGGUUGGGUUGUCUCCUCACGGGUAAGGCCACUGAACUGUAUUCUUCCCUGUCAGCUGAUAUAAUCGAAGAUUACGUUCUUUUGAAGAAAGCUCUCCUCACGGGCUUUAGUAAAACGGCGGAAAACUACCGUCAAGACUUCAGUCACGCCAGGAUAAGAGUUGGGGAAAACUACCAGCAGUUCUCCAUCCAUCUGACUCGGUUGUUCCAGGCGUGGUUGGAAGCCUCUGAUGUCCCCUGCACUUACGAAGAGCUCCGGGAGUUUAUGCUCCUGGAUCAGUUUCUAACUAAUCUCACCCCAGAUUUGAGGAUCUUCAUCAAGGAACGCCGGCCGAAACAUCUUCCCGACGCAGUGAGACUUGCCGACGACUGGUCGUCUGCCCGCAAUGCCUACCCUAAAGCUUCAUCUCCUAAUUCCCGAGACCCCUCUAAGGCUGCUUCGCCCACGAAAUCUUCAGAAUCCUCUCCGGGAGCCUCCUCCAAGACCUCUGCCCAGCCCAGUACAGUAACCCUGAGGUGUCACCAAUGCGGGGAGGAAGGCCAUCUACGUCCGCGCUGCCCGAAGAAUCCCCGCGCCUUCAAAGAUGUCGAACCUGCUAAACCAUCAUAUCAGGUAGGCUUUUGCCUUAGUGACAAAAGUGUCCCGAAGUUUUCUGUUUCGGGCACUAUUAACGGGUCUUGGAGCUCCAACAUCAUCAGGGAUACUGGCUGUUCCUGUGUGAUCGUCUCUGAAGACUUGCUACCUGAUAUAGAUGUUGAGAGUUGUCCAAAGGUCUCCCUUGCUGACUACCUAGGACGAGUGGACAAGUUUCCCGUGGUGAGGUGCCACUUAAGCUGUCCCUACUUCACCGGUUGGACUGAAGUGGUACGAGCUCCUAUUAAGUUUGUUGGGGCCCUCAUCGGAAACGUGCCUGGGGUAAGGGAUCCCCAUGACCCUGACUCUUCUCAAUCUCCAUCUGAUUCUUCCAGAACAUCCUCACCUUCAAAGUUGCCGCGAGGGACUUCUACUCCUCGUGUUCCGACAUCCCCGGCACCCCCUGACCCCCGGAUCCCCGGACGCCAUUACCACUCGUGCUGGUAGGUUGAAGAGGCUUCAUCCGCUUGUCCUUCCGGAACCUCUACCUCCUUCAGUAAAGACUUCUCCCAGCUUCAAGCCUCCUGUGCCUCCUUAGCAGCGAUACGGCAGAAAGCCUCAUCAGGACACGUCGACAAAGCAAGGAACGGAUCCUCCUUCCAGUACCUGUAUCGCAACGGACAUCUCUACAGGAAGUGCCUCACCUCCCCGCUUUCCAAUAAGAACUACUUCCCCAAAUUGCCAUCGACCUCGUUGGACCCUUGUCUCCACCAGCUACGGAAGAACCUCUUGUCAGCCCCAUUCCCGUAGUGGAGGAGCCAUCACCUGACGCCAGCUCCACAGAACUUCCCAUCGAUGAACCACUUAUGGACGACCGGGACGUAUUCUCCACCCCGCCUGGCUGUACUUCAGCGAUUCAGCAGGACAUCGUCCGGGUGUUGAGAUAGGCCUUGGGUCUACCGGCCUACGGGUACCGUGUCGUCCAUAUGGCCGGGAAGGAUAAUGUGGUGGCCGAUUUAUUGAGUAGACUUCCUGCAUAAGUCACUCCUGUUUCCUCGUCAGUCUCCUCCCUGUUUUAGUUUAUUGGCUUAUGUUCUUUUUUCUUUCCACUUGGUAGUUGUUUGUGGAAUCUACCUGGACUAGAUUCUUGUAUGGGGGCCUGUGUGAGGGCAACUACCAACUUAGCGGGCGAACGACCGGGCACUCCUGCCGCCCGCCCGCAUCUUGCCGUUCGAAGCGGUUCAACUACCGAGGCGCAGCGAAUCACCUGCUUCACUCCCGCUGCUCGUUCGCCUGACGCCGUUCGACGCCUCGGUCGAUUGAACCACCGAGGCUUCUCAAUCCGCUAUAGGAGGCAACUUGGUGGCCGCCAGCGCCUUCCUCGUCAUACAGCGGCCUCGCCUCGCCCUGAACACUUGCUUCUACUAAAGCUCCACCCUGCUCUCACUCGGGCUAACUCAGAUACCGUGGGCUCGUUCUGGGUGCCUUACCUCUCCCCUCUCCACGCCCUGGACUCCCGUUACUGCUGUGAACCUGACUCCCCUUUUCCGCCUGCGCCUCCCACGUCUACACCACUUCAAGGACGAAGCUGUGCUGCCUCGUCAUUGCCACUGGACGAGACGCUCAGAGGAGGAAGAAGCCGAGCAACGGGUCAUUGCUGUGUCCGGCGUGCUGAAGCCUUCUUGUUGGAGACUUCAGAUUGUAAGGCCUGUUUUGGGGUUUUCUACUGUACUUGAAGUAAACUGGUGUCUAACCAUUUA